GACGGUAGGGUAUUGGCCUACCGUGGCUAUGACGGGUAACGGGGAAUUAGGGUUCGAUUCCGGAGAGGGAGCCUGAGAAACGGCUACCACAUCUAAGGAAGGCAGCAGGCGCGCAAAUUACCCAAUCCUAAUACAGGGAGGUAGUGACAAGAAAUAACAAUACAGAGCCUUACGGUUUUGUAAUUGGAAUGAGUUAAGUAUAAACCCCUUAACAAGUAUCAAUUGGAGGGCAAGUCUGGUGCCAGCAGCCGCGGUAAUUCCAGCUCCAAUAGCGUAUAUUAAAGUUGUUGCAGUUAAAAAGCUCGUAGUUAAUUUUCUGUUAAUUUUUAUAUACAAUGCUACGGUAUUUAUAUAAUAUUAACAUAAUUCAUAUUACUUUUUAGUAUAUGAAACUUUACUUUGAGAAAAUUAGAGUGCUUAAAGCAGGCUAUUGCCUUGAAUACUCCAGCAUGGAAUAAUAUUAAGGAUUUUUAUUCUUCUUAUUGGUUCUAGAAUAAAAAUAAUGAUUAAUAGGGACAGUUGGGGGCAUUUGUAUUUAACAGUCAGAG
rnacentral:rRNA from 1 species